AUCGGAGAGGCGGGCGUGGGGGCGUGGUCCCACCGCUCCCCACCCCUUCGGGCGAGCUCGGGGUGAAGACGAACACGCGCCCGGCAGUACGGGCUUCGGUGGAGAAAAACAAGACGCCUGCUUGUGGGUCCCCAGGAGGGCCAGAGGCGCAGGCUGGACCUGCGGUUCCGCACGCGUCCCUGCAAUACAUGCCUUGGCUCUGUACCGCCGCGGGACAGCCUGACCCAAGCCUGAGUGCCCGGAGUGCCUUCCGAGAAGGUGACUCAGCGACACGCGUGGAACUCCCGGAAACAAGGUCUCGACAUGGAGCUGCUUAGCUUUUCUAUCAACUUGAUUCAAGCCAGGAUCAUCUGGGAAGAGGGGGCCUCAACUGUGGAAACGCCUCCAUCAAUUUGGCCUGUGAGUCUGUGGGAGGGCCCAGCCCUGCGGGGACCACCCUGGUCCUCAGUGGUAUAAGAAAAGCAGCUGAGCAUGAGCUGGACAGAAAGCAACUAAGCCGGAGUACUCUGUGGGUCCUGCCUGAGUGCCUGCUCUGAUACCACCUCAGUGAGGGACUGUGCUGUGGAAGUAUAAGUCAAAUAAAACCUCCCCUCAACACCCAGCACACACUUUUCUCUUCACUUACACACACACACACACACACACACACACACACACACACACACUGCAUGCAGAGGCCAGAGGUCAACACCGAUCAUCUUCCUCAGUCGCUCUUCACCUUAGUUUUGAGCCAGGGUCUCUCACGAGACCUGGACCACGCUGUUUUGGCUGAGGUGGGUACAGUGGCUGAGCAAGUUCCCAGGAUACUUCUCUCUGCUUUCCCCAGCACCGAUGCUCUCUGGCUCUGUGCUCAGCAACACACACACACAGUGGGGUCUUGCAGUGAACAUGGGGAAAUGCUUGCUUUCUUUCCCACCAGAUGUGCUUGCUCAAAACCCCUUUCCCAGCAGGCCUCGGGUUCCUUGGAUCCGCCUCAGUCUGAGUCGACACUUUAGGAGAAAGGCCUGUCUCAAAUUUCACAGCCUCCCUCCCCCCUUUUCCCCAGCUUUGCCAGACCCCAAGAGGACUGGAGCAGGGGGCUCCUGCAGCUUGCUCGUUUCCUGCCUCCACCUUGCUUUGUG